GAGUUUGAUCAUGGCUCAGGAUGAACGCUAGCUACAGGCUUAACACAUGCAAGUCGAGGGGCAGCAUGAAAGUUUGCUUGCAAACUUUUGAUGGCGACCGGCGCACGGGUGAGUAACACGUAUCCAACCUGCCUCAUACUCGGGGAUAGCCUUUCGAAAGAAAGAUUAAUACCCGAUGUCAUAGUCCUACCGCAUGAUGGGACUAUUAAAGAAUUUCGGUAUGGGAUGGGGAUGCGUUCCAUUAGUUAGUUGGCGGGGUAACGGCCCACCAAGACAACGAUGGAUAGGGGUUCUGAGAGGAAGGUCCCCCACAUUGGAACUGAGACACGGUCCAAACUCCUACGGGAGGCAGCAGUGAGGAAUAUUGGUCAAUGGACGAGAGUCUGAACCAGCCAAGUAGCGUGAAGGAUGACUGCCCUAUGGGUUGUAAACUUCUUUUAUAUGGGAAUAAAAUGUUCCACGUGUGGGAUUUUGUAUGUACCAUAUGAAUAAGGAUCGGCUAACUCCGUGCCAGCAGCCGCGGUAAUACGGAGGAUCCGAGCGUUAUCCGGAUUUAUUGGGUUUAAAGGGAGCGUAGGUGGAUUGUUAAGUCAGUUGUGAAAGUUUGCGGCUCAACCGUAAAAUUGCAGUUGAAACUGGCAGUCUUGAGUACAGUAGAGGUGGGCGGAAUUCGUGGUGUAGCGGUGAAAUGCUUAGAUAUCACGAAGAACUCCGAUUGCGAAGGCAGCUCACUGGACUGCAACUGACACUGAGGCUCGAAAGUGUGGGUAUCAAACAGGAUUAGAUACCCUGGUAGUCCACACAGUAAACGAUGAAUACUCGCUGUUUGCGAUAUACAGUAAGCGGCCAAGCGAAAGCAUUAAGUAUUCCACCUGGGGAGUACGCCGGCAACGGUGAAACUCAAAGGAAUUGACGG
rnacentral:rRNA from 1 species